rnacentral:rRNA from 1 species
CAAUAGCGUAUAUUUAAGUUGCUGCAGUUAAAAAGCUCGUAGUUGGAUUUCGGGUGGGAAUGGCCGGUCCGCCGUUUCGGUGUGCACUUGCUACGCCCACCUUGCUGCCGGGGACGUGCUCUUGAGUUCACGCUCGGGACACGGAGUCGGCGAGGUUACUUUGAGUAAAUUAGAGUGUUCAAAGCAGGCCUACGCUCUGAAUACAUUAGCAUGGAAUAACACGAUAGGACUCUGGCCUAUCUUGUUGGUCUGUAGGACCGGAGUAAUGAUUAAGAGGGACAGUCGGGGGCAUUCGUAUUUCAUUGUCUGAGGUGAAAUUCUUGGAUUUAUGAAAGACGAACUACUGCGAAAGCAUUUGCCAAGGAUGUUUUCAUUAA